rnacentral:rRNA from 1 species
UACGUAGGGGGCAAGCGUUAUCCGGAAUUAUUGGGCGUAAAGAGGGAGCAGGCGGCAGCAAGGGUCUGUGGUGAAAGCCUGAAGCUUAACUUCAGUAAGCCAUAGAAACCAGGCAGCUAGAGUGCAGGAGAGGAUCGUGGAAUUCCAUGUGUAGCGGUGAAAUGCGUAGAUAUAUGGAGGAACACCAGUGGCGAAGGCGACGAUCUGGCCUGCAACUGACGCUCAGUCCCGAAAGCGUGGGGAGCAAAUAGG